AGAAUUUUAGAAGUUAGAAACCAAAAGGCUAGGAGAAAGAAAAAGAGAUGGAGAUAUAGGUUUUUGUUUAGAGAAGAAAUCUAUGGAGAGGAAGAAGAUGAAUUGGAGCUAGGCUUCUUGAGGAUAAAUUUUAAUUAGGAAAAUCAGUGGAGAAUCAAUGGAAUUGAGUAAUAUCCUUGAUCAGCUUCUUUGGCUCAAGUUCAAGGUCAUCGAAACAGAAUGUUAUAGCGAAGGUUUUCAUGAGACGGCAUUUUUGGGUGACCAAUAGCACUUCGAAACUCGCGGUAUUGCAUUCUCUUUCCAAGAAAAGCAGCGGUACUAGAUUGGUGGUCAUCCAAAGGGGAGUGUGAUGGAAUAAGUGUCUCAAAGUGGCUGACCCACCAAAUGCAAAUAGGGACUAAACACCCCAGCUGAAUAUAAGUUAAAGGAUUAACAUAUUGAGGACACAUCCUCUUGUACGUGUCUUCAAUAUUUUUGUCUAUGUGUCGUCAUUAUGCACAUGGGUUACGCUAUAAAUAGCCAUUCCAGUUUUGUAAAAGAUUGAGCCCGGAGAUUAAGUGCCUCGUUUAAUUGGGGGUCCUAAAAACUAAUUAGGGGCCUCACCCAUUUUAUUUGCAUCCCAAAAUUUUCAGGGGCGCAUCAAUAAUAAAGUGAGAAUAUUGUUU